UGGCGUUAAACUACACAUCCCAGACUUGCUGUUCUAAUGAGGUUUUGCUGGUGUCCAUUUAGUGCGCAAACAACAGUAAAAUACACAAGCAUAAUUCAGACAUUUCUUGAUACCUGAAGAUCGUCUUUACGAGCCACUGUUUUUCAUGCUGGAAUGGAAUCAACUCCCGAUGGGCCACAACGUGUGACAGGUGGUUUUGCAACCAGCUACAUCAAGAAUUUCCAAGAGGAAUGUAAACAAAGCCUGUGCAGUGACUCCCACUAGAGCAGAGGAAUAUGACUGGGAGGGAAAGAUCUCCACUGAGCUGUCUGAAGACGAACGGUUGUGCUACAUACCAACUCUGCCAUGCACGUCAGGAAACGAAAUCUGUCUGCCGGGAAGGAACUGGGCAGAGACUCUUCUACCUUUAGGAAAACACCACCUCCAUUCUCAUAAUAACGUGUGAAUAGUGCCACUAUCACCCAGUGCCUGUGUGUCAUGGGACAACAUUGGGAGAUAUUAUUAUCCAGGUAUUUUUUUUUUUUUUGGAUUCUGUGGCCCCCUACCCCUUUUCCCAGCUCAGACCACUUCCACUGCCUCAAGAAAGGAAUAACUCAAAGGGCAAGAGGGUCA